UCCCUGGUGGUCCAGUGGUUAAGACUCCACACUUCCACUGCAGGGGAUGCAGGUUCGAUUCCUGGUCAGGAAG
rnacentral:tRNA from 1 species